UACGUAGGGUGCGAGCGUUAAUCGGAAUUACUGGGCGUAAAGCGUGCGCAGGCGGUUCGUUGAGUCUGCUGUGAAAGCCCCGGGCUCAACCUGGGAAUGGCAUUGGAAACUGGCGAGCUAGAGUGUGGCAGAGGGGGGUGGAAUUCCGCGUGUAGCAGUGAAAUGCGUAGAGAUGCGGAGGAACACCGAUGGCGAAGGCAGCCCCCUGGGCUGACACUGACGCUCAGGCACGAAAGCGUGGGGAGCAAACAGG
rnacentral:rRNA from 1 species